GCCGUUGUGGUGUAAUGGUAGCACAUUGGAGCGUAUUCGAGAGGUUCAGGUUCGAGUCCCGGCGAGGGCA
rnacentral:tRNA from 1 species